rnacentral:tRNA from 1 species
GCCCCGUAGCUCAGUGGAUCGAGCAGGCGCCUUCUAAGCGCUUGGCCGCAGGUUCGAGUCCUGCCGGGGGCGCCA